UUGAACGCUGGCGGCAUGCUUUACACAUGCAAGUCGAACGGUAGACCCUUUCGGGGGUUGAGAGUGGCGAACGGGUGAGUAAUGCAUCGGAACAUACCCAGUCGUGGGGGAUAACGUAGCGAAAGUUACGCUAAUACCGCAUGAGUCCUGAGGGAGAAAGCGGGGGAUCGCAAGACCUCGCGCGAUUGGAGUGGCCGAUGUCAGAUUAGCUAGUUGGUGGGGUAAAGGCCUACCAAGGCGACGAUCUGUAGCGGGUCUGAGAGGAUGAUCCGCCACACUGGGACUGAGACACGGCCCAGACUCCUACGGGAGGCAGCAGUGGGGAAUUUUGGACAAUGGGGGCAACCCUGAUCCAGCCAUUCCGCGUGAGUGAAGAAGGCCUUCGGGUUGUAAAGCUCUUUCGGCAGGAACGAAACGGUGGAGGCUAAUACCUUUCAUCAAUGACGGUACCUGAAGAAGAAGCACCGGCUAACUACGU
rnacentral:rRNA from 1 species